GCCAAGGCAGCAGCGUAGUAAUUCUUCCACGGCAUGCUCUUAUAAAGACUUCCUCCGAUCUGUAAAGAUGAAUUUCCAUACCUUGUUCUUAUAUGAGUUUCAUGAGUACGAUCUAGACUAUACUUAUUUUCUCAGGGUUUUUUUCGCAUAGCGAGUAGAGGAAUAGUUUAUAGUUUUGGAACCACCUGAACAGGAAUCGCUGAUCCACCUUCAGUCACACUAGUGCCUCCAUCUCAAGGAAUCUAUAAAAGAUACCAGAAAGCCCCAAGAAGAUAUGGAUGCGAUAAACUCUCUGAACCUAGAGGUGAAAGUUCCGGUGGUGAUGGUGGGCGGGCCAGACGAUCCGUACCGAUGCUUACGUUCGGCUUUGCUCCUAUCUUAGCAAUCCGAACUUACUAUUCAAGGCAACAACCUUACUACACAGCCCUGGAUGGAAAUCGAUAGAGACUGUAACCUCAGUGAACAAGAAGGCACAGGUUGUGGACCAAUCGGGCAGAUGCUAGCUGUUCGAUCCCACCGGGUCAUCGACCCCGCGACAGUGACCGACGAGACGCUAUACCGGAAGUUUAGAACAAAUCACUUUGACUCGGACAAAGAUACAGUGGAGGGAACCGGAACGGAAGGAAGGGAUCUUUGAAAAAAACGCAAAAAAAAAUUC
rnacentral:lncRNA from 1 species